CCUGAGGUCUAUCCCGACAGACCUUUCACUGUGGGCCAUGUCGUUGGAAAUGCCUCGGAGAGUAAAUCUGUAGUUUCGCUUUACCCAAUGUUCACUGUUAUGAGCCUUGUGGGAUAUUACUUGCAGAACACUA